AUGCUCACUUCGGCAGCAUAUAUACUAAUAUGGAACGAUACAGAGAAGAUUAGCAUGGCCACUGUGCAAGGAUGACAUGCAAAUUCGUGAAGCUUUUCAUAUUUUA